rnacentral:rRNA from 1 species
GAUGAACGCUGGCGGCGUGCCUAAUACAUGCAAGUCGAGCGAACGGACGAGAAGCUUGCUUCUCUGAUGUUAGCGGCGGACGGGUGAGUAACACGUGGAUAAACUACCUAUAAGACUGGGAUAACUUCGGGAAACCGUAGCUAAUACCGGAUAAUAUUUUGAACCGCAUGGUUCAAAAGUGAAAGACGGUCUUGCUGUCACUUAUAGAUGGAUCCGCGCUGCAUUAGCUAGUUGGUAAGGUAACGGCUUACCAAGGCAACGAUGCAUAGCCGACCUGAGAGGGUGAUCGGCCACACUGGAACUGAGACACGGUCCAGACUCCUACGGGAGGCAGCAGUAGGGAAUCUUCCGCAAUGGGCGAAAGCCUGACGGAGCAACGCCGCGUGAGUGAUGAAGGUCUUCGGAUCGUAAAACUCUGUUAUUAGGGAAGAACAUAUGUGUAAGUAACUGUGCACAUCUUGACGGUACCUAAUCAGAAAGCCACGGCUAACUACGUG